GCAGUUUUUCUUCUCUGGAGGAGAGAGGCAGUUGCUGGAGUUGAUCUUUGGAGACUGAGAUCUUUCUUCAAUCAAUUCAUCUUAAGGAAAUGGUAUAGAGGGUGGUUAACAUUACACGGGUGGACAGUGUGUGUGUUAAACCAUCACUCCCCUUCUGAUCCUGUGUGGUCCUGUAUGCUGCUGAUCUCUACUGGGAUUUCUCCAGACCCAAGAGGACAUCAGUUUUAGUGACAGAGUGAUUGGUCUGUGUAAAAGAGAGAAUCUGUAUGCAUGCAAAAGACAUCAUCUGUCAAUCAAAAGGUAACAUUAAGUAUCUGGGAAAAGACAGUUGGAGCCAAGCCAGCAGCUGAACUGGGGAAGACAGGACAAGGAUAGAAGAUGAGAAGGGACUCACUGUGCUCUUGGAGAUGAUCAGGACAUUAACAGGACUACUGGGGCUAUACCAAGGUUCCUAUAGCCUCUGCUUCUGCUGGUCCCACAUCCUGUUUCAAGUGCUUCACAAAGGAAGGGGAUAAUACUCUCUAGAAACAGGACCCAAUAAGGGUCUUAAUACUAGCUGUCUUUUUAACACCGUUAUCUGAGGGUAGGUACUUUUCUGUACCCAAGUUUUGCAUUUGUAAAUGAUUAUCAUGCUGUCCUUUCAGGCAAAUUAGGUGAGGACUAAUUUAUAGACAUUUGCAAACACUUGCAAAAGAUAAUGUGCUAUAUCAAUUAUUAAAAGUAAUUCUUAUUAGCUGUGUCCUUGGCUCAAGAAGAAAGAAGGAACCAGUCGUGAGCUAAUGAAUUAAAAGGGCUGAUUUUGCUAAGCUGGUUCACAGGCCCUUGGAAUUUAUAAAUUAAUAGGUGAUGAUCUCUCUGCAUUUCUAUGAUGUAGGUUCAAGAUAGUUUUCUUGCAUACAGAAACUUCCCUCCACACAGAAAUCCUAUCUCUGUAGGGUAAUAAUUCACAGAUUAACUGAGUCCAAAAUCAAAGUUCAUAGUUCUGACCCUUUCUACUUACUAAAUUUUUAUAUAUUGAUCUUUCUAACUCAUUCUUCUAACUUCUAACUAACUAACUUCUAACUCAUUCCCAAGGCCAUUCAUCCUUGGAGAUGGUUUCUAUCCUCAAUAUCUGUCUUGAAGUAUUGUUUUCUCUAAAAAUAGUUUGAUGCUGGACCUUUGAACUUUGUGGAUAUAUUAAAUUAGCUAGUGAAUUAACAUGUGAUACUCUAACCAUACAUACACAUGCAUGGAUAUGCACAAUAUUGUAUUUCCUACUGUAUCUGCCAAUAUCACUGAGGGUUGGCACCACAGGGAAAAUCAUCAACUAUGGACCUUUGUUUCCUAUUUACCUAAGAUAAGCCCCUGAUAGUGCUCUCAUGUGUAGAGCAGAGUGAAUCCGAAUGAAAUCUUUAUCUAACAGGACUAUCUUCAUUUUUAGUUCAUCUUUGGCAAAAAGAAGAAAAAACGCUCAUAUCCCACAUGAUGAUUUUCUCCGUUUCAAAAAUCUUCCGGUGUUUGAAGCUUGUGUCAACUGAAGGAAACAGUCUGUCAGUUGAUAAGUAUUUACCAAGCACGUGCCUCUGAGCAUUCUUUUAGAUACUAGGGAAACCAAGCUAAAAAUCUAACAAUUUGUGCAUUGAAAAUCUACUUUCUAUUAAGGGAAACAUUAAUUAUAUAAAAAUAAUAGAAAAUAAAAGGUAAUGUUUUGCAGGGUGGAAAGGAACUAGAAGGUGGGAGGGCAUUUGAAUUAAGUUUUGGAGGAGAUAAGGAAUUCUAAGAAGUAACAAGGCAAUUCAUUCUAAGAAGGGAAGACAGUCACAAAAAAGCAGAGUAUUGUUUUGAGGGGCAAGAAGAUCAUUAUGGACAUAAAGAUCAGGGGUAGUCAUGGGCACCUUGAUCAUGGCUAUCCCUGAAAACCAACAGAAGUGGGAAGAAAGAGUAAUCAAUAUUUUAGAGAGCAGAAGUCUAGCUCUAAUUCCCAUUGCUUGCUCCCAUACAGCAUCUCCUCAGUUAAGAACAAAACUAAUCAAACAAAAAACAAGCCUAUUGAUUGACAACAGGAUUGUUCUGAGUAGUCCACAUACUCUUGUAAAGGAUGUUCAUGCCAGAAAAGUAAUCUUAACUUUCUAAUUUAAUACUAUGUUCUCUCAAUGUGUUCUUAUGUGAAUUUUCUGGGGCCAUAUAUGAAUAAUUAAACCCCUUUUCUCAGUAUCACUACUAUAUUAAUUCACCUAUUUUUUCUUUAAUGGGGGGGAUUGAGAACUGUGAUUUCACUGGUAUAGGGAACUUCCAGUUCUAGGAAGUAGAAAUUUCUUCCAGUGGUGGUAAUUCAAAACUGUCCUUUAAUUCAGUCUGAGCUAUCUAGAGAUCCAAGAAAUUAAGUGACUUGCCCAAAUCACUGGGACAAAAAAAUGUCAGAAAUGGAAAUUGACCCCAAGUUUUCCUGACUGAUGCUAUCUCUACCAUCCUAUCACAAUCACCCAACUUUCUAGAAGGAUUUGAAGAAAGAAAAUGUAUUAGGUGAAUUCUGAUGUCAUUGAAUAAAGGUGCAGAGUAGGAGAAUUUUACAUUUUUUUUUGCAAAUUACUUAAUUUUAGGACUUUGUUGAGAAUCAGGGUAUUGUCAACAAGAUGUUAAAGAAUGUUCUGGUUUUCCAUUUUGUUUUUAGCAUAGUAGGUUUUGUGAAAUAACAGUAACUCAGACAAAAAACAAGCAUUGGUAAAAUGCUUACUAUGUGCCAGGCAAAGGCACUAAGUACAAUAGCAGAAUAUCUGUACAGCUAAACCCUACCGUGUCCCACUACCCUGUUUUCAUAUCCCCUUUGGUAGUACCUCUUACACUAAGUGAAUGAGACAGGUACCAAAGUUCUUAUAGAGUCCCAUUUUGUUUCCUUUAGGCAAAUAUAUCCACUGACUGAUUUUCUAAUCUGCAGAUACUUAAAUAUUUUAGUGGAUCUGUUAUCUCACCAUGAUGGGCAUUUCCACCAAUGUUGCAAUUCAGAACUUAUCUCAAGUCACUUUCUAUUCCAUGUUCUCCCAUAAGUUUUCCAAAAGGGGGCUUCCUUGGAUUCUCUUGACAUCAUGAAGAACAAAGCAUAAGCCCAUAUAACUGUCUGAUAACGUAUUCCAUUGAUGGCAUCUUUCAUACAGCUUCUCCUGCUUAGUGAUUGAUUACAGCCAACUCAUAUCCCGCCAUGCAUCUCUGCAUUGCCCUUUGGGUGAUUUUCAACUUCAGCUCCUUAGAGAGCUAGUGUCUUAUAUCUUGCAGUCAUAGAUUGCUGGAACAACAUUGACAUUAAAAAGAUGGGCCAUUGUUGGAGGAAGAUGCUUGAGUUUCUUAAAAGAAUUUGCAAUUUCCCUAAGGCAAUCAAAAUAAACUUUGAAUUAUUAUCUUGUAUGUGAUGAAGGCAUAUGAGGAAAGGGAUUUUAGAUUUUUUUUAAACUUUAGCCUGUAGCAGGGUAGACAGGAAAUGACUAGCCUCUGUGAAUACUAAUACUGAUGUAUCUGAAAAUACCUCUACCUGGACAAUUUGAUUCAUCUAGAUGACUGCAGUGAGGCAGCCAGGCAGCCGAGGGCAUGAGUAAUUUACAAUCUGCUAUUCAGUUGUCCUUUAAGUCCCAGCUAAAACCUCAUUUUCUAAGAGAAGUCUUUCCUGAGCCCCCUUAAUGCUGGUGCUUUCCCUCUAUUUAUUAGUUCUAAUUGAUCUCACAUAUAACUUGUUAUUGCAUAGUCCUUUGAAUGUUGUGUUCUUCCUUAGUCUGUGAAUACUUCAAGAGCAGGGGGAUCUUUUGCUUUUCUUUGUGUCUCUAGCACUUAGUUUAGCGCCUGGCACAUAGCAGGCUCUUCAUGAAUGGUUACUGACUAAUUAUUUGGUUGUGUGUGUAAUUCUCACAUGAAGAGGGAAGUAACAGUGUGAAGAGAAGAAGGAUAACCUGAGAGUCACAGUCAGAAGAGAUCUUACAGAUGAUCCAGUCCUGUCUCCUCAUUUCAGAGAUGAGUUUCCUAACAGAGAUCCAUUGAAGUCAAAUUCACCCAGGGACACACAGUUAACAGCAGAGAUAAAAUUCAAACCUAAAAAUCCUGAAUCCUAGUCCAAAAGACUCCUCAUCCUCACUGCCCUAAGGCUUAUAUUUACAUAAUGUUUUUUAAAACUUUCUCUUCUAUAGCUUUUCUAAAUCCUCCUGUUCAGUGUUGGGAGCUGAACUCUGAGCUUCCAGAGGGCUCAUUUUGUUUUUAUGGUUUUUGUAUCCAUAGUGUUCAUCAUAGUGCAUUGAAAAUAGGCAUGUGAUGUUUGUUAAUUUAUUAGAGAAUAUCAUGAGCAAAAGCAUGGUCAUACAGUUAAUUUCCGUUCUUUAAGAAUGAAUGAAUUUUGGGGAGUAAAAAAUAACCCCUCCCCACAAUUUCUCAGUCUUGUUUUGCCAUGGUGUCUUUUAAACUCUAUAUGCAACGGAAGUAAUCAGAUGUACCCCUCCCAUUUGUUCUGGCUAAAGUCUCCUGCAUUGGAAAAAACUAUGAAGUGGCCCUGAGCUCCCUUGGAACAUUUCAGUUGGAUCACGUAGGCUUUGGAAUGGUGCCAAAACACCUGGUACUAUGGGAUCGAUAGGGACAUUGUGUGGUUCCCAUGACAGGGGGAAAGGGAUAUAUCAAAAGGGAGAAAAGCUUCCCAGUCAGAAGACCUGAACAAAAAUAACACUUCUAUUCUGCCUCCCCCUUCUUCUUCUUUCCAGAACCUGUGGUGUAGAAAUCUCCCUGGAACUUCCAAGGGGCUUGGGGAGAGGAGUUCCUCUCCCAGUGGCUUUGCUGAAUGCUUGCUCAUGGCAAUGGGCACAGAUACUGCCCAGGGGAGCCUUGUUCACAGCCCAGGCCCCAAACUAUCAUUUCUGCUUUGUUUCUUUGCCCCUUCCUAGUGCCCUCCAAGUAAUGAUAGCAGCAAAGGGAUGCUGAAAUGGACCUUUAACCUCUUGGAGGCCACCUUCUGUGUUUGGAAUGUCAGGAGAUCCUAGAUCAAAGAGUAAGAGAUAAACAUCAGAAGGAAGAAUUUGCUGCAAUUCACUCCCUCCUCAGAAAAGAUGGCCCUCAAUAGGAUUAUGGACUAAAGCUUUGGGCUGGUUUUUUAGUAUUGCUGGAGGGAAGGUAAAAUAGAUAUUUAGCAGCCCCACAAAAUGUUUUCUUUUAAGUAUGAAUCUCUUUGAGUGAAUAUAUUAAGUUACACAAAAUAAUUCAAUGUUUAACUCUAUCAAUGCACUCCUGUGAGUAUUUUGUGUCUUAAGAGACCUUUAUAUGAAGCAAAUAAAUAGUUAAGCUAUAUAUGAUAUAUAUUGUACAUCAAGUAUAUUUUAAUAUCUUUUGGGGACUCUAGACCUGAACCAAGCAUAAGCUUUCAGUUCUUUUCCCUGGGACUUUUGAGCCUUAGAUAAAUAUGAAAUGAAUUGACCCUUUUCAUCAGAGUUCAGGCUCCACAAGGAUUGAACCAAGGUAUACAUGCAGGCCCAUUGCUGGGACUUUUAUUAGGAAAGCAAAUCCUUAGUCCUCUCAGCCCAAUAAUAUGAUCUGUAGUGACAAAUAUAUUUUAUUCCUCAAGAUAUUUCCCACUUUUAUGUAUCUAUAUCUAUAUAGAACAUUUCAAAGCAUAGUCUCUUCUAUUAUUUCAUUUCUCCUAAAAGCUCUGUAAGGAAAAGUAAACAAUAUUUUUUAUUUUAUAAAUGAGAAAACUAUAGAACUAUUGAAGUAAUAAAUAAGAAUAAGAACUGGUUCUAAUAAAAAACAAAUAAAUUGGAAAGAAUAUUGGUUAAUUUGAUUAGAAAAAAGAAAGGAGAGAAUCAAAUUACCAUUAUCAAAAAUGAAAAGGGUGAUUUCAUCUCUAAUGAAGAGGAAAUAAAAGCAAUUAUAUUUUGCCCAAUUAUAUGACAAUAAAUCUAAUAAUCUAGGUGAAAUGGAUGAAUACUUACAAAAAUAAGGAUUGCUUAGAUUAAAAAAAGAGGAAAUGUAAUACUUAAACAAACCAGUUUCAGAAAAAAGAAAUUGAACAAUCCAUGAACUCCCCAAGAAAUAUUCCUCAGGCCCAAAUGUAUUCACAAGUGAAUUCUAUCAAACAUUUAAAUGACAAUUAAUUCCAAUACUAUACCAAUUAUUUGUCAAAAUAAGCAAAGUGUCCUACCAAAUUCUUUUUAUGACACAAAUAUGGUGCUGGUACCUAAGCCAUGAAGACCAAAAUCAGAGCAAGACAACUAUAGACCAAUUUCCUUAAUGAACAUUGAUGCAAAAAUCUUAAAUAAAACACUAUCAAAGAGACUACCACAAUAUAUUAUAAGGAUUAUUCACUAUGACUAGAUAGGAUUUAUACCAGGAAUGCAAGGCUAGUUUAAUACUAGGAAAACUAUUAGCAUAAUUGACCAUAUUAAUAAUAAAACUAACAGAAAUUCCAUGAUUAUCUCAAUAGAUGCAAAAAAAGUCUUUGACAAAAUUCAACACUCAUUCCUAUUGAAAAACACUAGAAUGUAUAGGAAUAGGAGGAUUAUUCCUCAAAAUAAUAAACAGUAUAUAUCUGAAACCAUCAGCAAUUAUCAUCUGUCAGAAGAAUAAGUUAGAAGCCUUCCCAAUAAGAUCAAGAGUGAACCAAGGAUGCCUGUUAUCACCACCAUUAUUUAAUAUUGUUCUAGAAACACUAGCAGUAGCAAUUAGAGAAGAAAAAGAAAUUGAAGGAAUAAAGCAGGCAAUGAGGAAACUAAACUAUCACUUUUUGCAGAUGAUAUGAUAAUAUCCUUAGAUAGAAUCAUAGAAAGUAAACUAAAAAAACUAAUUGAAAUAAUUCACAACUUUAGCAAAGUUGCAGGAUAAAAAAUAAACCCAUAGAAAUCACCAGAAUUUCAAAUAUUUCCAACAAAACUCAGCAGCAAGAGUUAGAAAGAGAAACUCCUUUUAAAAUCAUUUGACAACAUAAAAUAUCGGGGAAUCUAUUUGCCAAGACAAAUGAAGAAAUUAUAUGAACACAAUUCCAAAACACUUUUCACACAAAUAAAAUUAGAUCUAAACAAUUGGAAAAGCAUUAAUUGCUAAUGGGUAGGCCAAGCUAACAUAAUAAAAAUGACAAUUCUACUUAAUUAAUUUGCUUAUUCGGGGUCAUGCCAAUCAAACUACCAAAAGCUAUUUUAUAAAACAAGAAAAAAUUAUAACAAAAUUCAUCUGGAAGAACAAAAUGUCAAGAAUAUCAAGGGAAAUAAUGAAAAAAAUGUGUAGGAUGGUGGCCUAGCAGUACCAGUUCUUAAACUGUACUAUAAAGCAGUGGUCAUCAAAACAAUCCAAUAUUGGCAAUGAAAUAGAAGGUGGAUCGACGUAAUAGAUUGGGGGGAAUGACCUCAGCAAUCUAAUAUUUGAUAAACCCCCAAAACCCAGCUUUGGGGGUAAGAACUUACUAUUUGACAAAAACUGCUGGAUAAAUUGGAGAACAGUAUGGCAAAAAUUAGGUUUAAAUUAUUUCACAUGCUAUACCAAGAUAAGGUCAAAAUGUGUAUAUGAUUUAAAUAUAAAGAGUGAUAUUACAAAUAAAUGAGGGGAACAUAGAAUAGUUUACCUGUCAGAUCUAUGGAGAAGGGAAAAUUUUGUGACCAAAAAAAGAGAUACACAACAUUACAAGAUGUAAAAUGAAUGAUUUUGAAUUGUGUUAAAUUAAAAAGGGUUUACAUAAACAAAACCAAUGCCACCAAAAUUAGAAGAGAAACAAUAAAUUAGGGAAAAAUCAUAACAGAUUUCUUUGAUAAAGGGUUCAUUUCUCAAAUAAAUAAUGGUCUCAUUUCUCAAAUACAAAAUAUAUCAAAUUUAUAAGAAUCAAAGUCAUUCCCUAAUUGAUAAAUGGUCAAAAGAUAUGAAUAGGUAGUUUUUAGAUGAAGAAAUCAAAGCUAUGUGGAAAAUGUCCUAAAUUCCUUUUGAUUAAAGACAUGCAAAUUAAAAUAACUCUGAGCUACCAUGACACAUCUAUCAGAUUGGCCAAUAUGACAAUAAAGGAAAAUGAUAAAUGUUGGUGGGAACGUAGCAAAAUUGGGACACUAAUGCAUUGCUGGUGGAGUUGUGAAUUGAUCCAACUAUUCUGGAGGGCAAUUUGGAAUACCAUCCCAAGGACUAGAGAAGAAUGCAUAUCUUUUGAUCUAGUAAUACUACUACUGAGUCUGUAUCGCAGAGAUUUUAAAAAAUGGGAAAGAAUCUGUGUGUACAAAAUGAUUUAUAGCAGCUCUUUUUGUUGUGACAAAGAAUUGGAAACUAAAAGCAUAUCCCUCAAUUGGGGAAUGGUUGAACAAAUUGUGGUAUAUGAUGGUAAAGGAAUACUAUUGUGCUAUAAGGAACAAUGGACAGGAUGAUUUCAGAAAGAGCCAGAAAGAUAUGCAUGAAAUGAUGUAGAGUGAAAUAAGCAGAACUAGGAGAUCAAUAUACACAGAAACUGAUAUAUUAUGGAAUGAUCACAUGUGAUAGACGUUGCAACUGAUAGCGAUACAAUGAUCCAGGAUAAUUCUGAGGAUUUAUGAAAAAGAAUGAUAUCUACCUCCAGAGAGAGAACUGUUGGAAUAGAAAUACAGAUGAAAACAUAUGAUUUAUCAUUUGUUUAUUUGGGCAUAUGUUUUGGGGUUUCAGUUCUAUAAGAUUAUUUGCUUAAAAUGAAUAAUAUGGGAAUGUGUUUUGCAUGAUAAUACAUGUAUAACCCAGAUUGAAUUGCUUAUCAUCUCCAGGAGGGGGGAGGAAAGAAGAGAGGGAGACAAAUAUGGAUCAAAUGACUUUGGAAAAUUCGUGUGGAAAUUUGUUAUUAAAAUAAAAUUUAACAAAGAGAAAGUGAAGGUUUAAGGAAGUUAAACGAUUUGCCCAAGAUCACAGACUUAGUGCCAGGACCUAUUAUAGAAUUCAGGCAUUUUGUCUCUCAUUAGUAUGCUCUUUCUGUGAGCUCAUGAUGACUCCUAACCACCACAUUUAUUUUCCUCUUCAAAGAAAAGGGAUAUGGAACUUCUUUAAUUUGUUCUUCAAAGUUUAAAGCCCAGGGAAAUUUAUUCUUGCUAAUUUAUGGAGUGAUUUACUAAUAAAGUUAGGGGGGGAAAAACCUCUUUAGGGACAUAGAAGAAAAAUGUGCCUUUAUAUGAAGUAAAAGUGGAACUCUGCAGUGUUUUUUCUAAGACACAAAUGUGAGAGUUUGGAAUUUGGAGGGCUGGAGUUCUUAAAAAUUGCUUAAAACUUGUUCUUACAUCCACCCCCUGCACAAUCUGUGGUACCACAAACAGCUUUCCCAGAUAAGAAAUAAGGAAUUCAUCUUAUUUCUAUUUUAAUACUUCUAGUAAACAGAAGACUAUUAUUUUAUAAGGAAAUCUAGUUUUACUGUCAGACAAUUCUAAUUAUUAGAAUGUUCUGCCUUUUACUGAGUGCUUCCCUGUACCAAUUUGUCCUAUCCCUGUCAUUCUGAUCAAUAUAAAAGAAGUCUAAAGUCAUUCCCCAAGAAAUAAGUGCCCAAAAGAUAGUUCUUGAAACAAGUAGAGCAAGCUAUGACCCAUCUCAGUAAAUACUACUUCAACUCCCUAAUGAUAAGAGAAAUAAAAAUGAAAACAAUCCUAAACUUCUAGCAACCUGGCAAGGAUGAUAAAAGAUGGGAACAUUUGAUAUGGGAGGGCUUGUGGAAAGAUAAGCACACCAAUGCAUAGUUGGUGGAGUUGUGAAUUAGUAUAUUCUGAACAGCAAUGUGAAAUUAAGCAAAUGAAGUAGAUAAGAUUCUGAGGAAGCAGAGACUGUGGCUUAAUUCCCUUAAAGUUCAACAUGGUGCAUUACACAGAGUAACAGUUAAUGUUUGCCAAAAUUAUCUUCCCAAAAUACAAGUUUAAUCAUGUUACUGAAGUGUCCAAGAAACUUCAGCAGCUUCCUAACACCUUUGAAUAAAAUAUGAACUCCUCAUUUUGGCUUAAAAUGACCUUCACAAUAUGCUUCAGGUACCUUUCUAGGCUUAAUUCUUUUAUGUACAUUAUUUUCCAGGUAGAAAACCCUACUCUAUCUUUCCCAAACAUUGCUCUUUAUCCUUGACCUUUCUGUCUUUGCACAGGCAUUCUCCUACAUUUGGAAAGCAUGCAUUCCUCUCUUCUACCUUUUAAAAAUUCCUAGCUUCCUUUAAGGUUUAGCACAUGUACCAUCGCCCUUGGGAAACAUCUUCCAAAUGCCUUAGUUGUUUCUAUUCUCUGCUUCCUGCUCAAAUAAUCAUUCAUAUAUGCAUCAUGUUUCAUCCCCCUAGUAGACAGUAAGCUCCCUGAGAACAGGUUGUUUUUGGUUUUGUCAUCUCCCCUGGUAUUCCUAGUAUAGUUCCUUGCAUAAAAUAGUGACUUUAGCAAAUGCUUGUUGGAUUGGACAGGACUGGUUUGUAGAGUGAAUGUUGAAUUAGAAUAAAAGUAAAUCGUAAUCUUAUGAGAUAAGAGAUUGCAUUUUAAGCCACACAGGAAAUAUUGCUAUGAGAAGGCUUACACAGGACUAUUUUAGAAAACAAGCAUUUUGCAGUUUCCUCUUUUUUGAAUUAAUACUCUGGUCAAUGUUAAAUGAUGUCCUUUCAAUAUAUGGUUCAGCAAAUAUAUUAUCGAAGAGGAAUGCUAUUCACAGCUGAUAGAAUCGCAAAACUGCAACUCUGCUUAAGUGAUGGCAUUUGUUUUAGGGAAGAUGAGAUGUAAUUCACAGAAUUAGAGGUUUAUGGUUCCUUCCUGGUGUAAUGGACUCUUUUAUAACUGAAGUUUAUAUUCCUGAAAGGGAAAUGAAGGGUCUCGGUUUUGCUGCUGAGAGAAGAGUAGAAUUUGCCCCUGGAUUGCUACAGAGGCUCUCAAUUGCACAUUUUACAUUCAUGCUAAGCAUUGGCAGAAACUCUGUGCAUAAAAUAUUCAUUGAAAAGCUCCAUGGUGAACGGACUGGAGGGAAGCACAUGGUCUUCACUCUGCUAUUAGUCUUCACACUGCUAAUGAUGGUUGGAGAGAGUUUCCCUUCUGUACUUUACAGAAAGGUUUUGGGGUACAAUUCAGCUUAACACUACUGAUUUUGCUAUUGAUUAUGUAGGAGUUAUAAAAAUCUCUCUAUCUGGCUGGAUAACCAUAAUGCAUUGUGCAGAAAGUAAUUUUUGAUUUGCUUUGGACAUCUAUAGGAUACAUCCCAGGCCAUUUUGUUGGGUACCAAACCACUGAUAACAGCUGACUGUUGGGGAGUGAGCAUAACUGGAAGACAAAGGGCUGGAGCAUCAGACUGGCUUCUGGCAUAUUGGAAAAAAAAUCCAAGAUCCCUGUUUCUCAUUGAGCUGACCAGAGAUGUAGACACUGCUGUUUAAGGUCUUUUCUGAUAUUCAUGAUGGAAAAAAAGAGGGGAAAUCUUUAACUCUAAGUGAAAUGAGAUUUGUGUCAAGUUGAGGACAAGCCCAGGGGCUGCAUUAAGUGAGAGAAGAGAAGCUGAGAAGCCAGAGAGAAUGAAUGACAAGAACAACACUUUAAUUAUGUGGCUCUGCAAAUUACCAGUUCAGUAUGUAAAAUAAUUUUUCCUUCAUGUCUGAGUAUCCAGCUAUGUUGAACCUCUGUCCUCAUUGAAAGAGGAUCAUGAAAUUAUUGAAGCCAUUCCCAAGUGACAAUGUUGCUCAACUGCUAUCAAAUCAGUUCAUUAAGACUCUAUCAAGCUGGUGACCUGCCAUCUCAGGACCUACUGGUUACAAGCAUGGACAUCAGAAAGGAACACAGUGGCCAAGUCGGUGAAUUUGAUGACAUCUCAGGAGAAGAUGUACGUAUUGAAAACAAAGAUCCACCAUUUAAACAACAACAGAAACAGAGGAGCAGCAACAGCAAAAUCAACCACAGUAACAACAAUCUUUUGGAAAAACAGAAUGAAGCAUACAGAUGAUCAGAUCCUGAUACACUCGUUUCUUUUUGAUAUGGUAUUGAACUUUCCACUUGAAUCUCUGCUGUUGCCACCGGUCCCCAUUUUCCUUUCAGCUCAUUGGAAUUCAAUGUUUAGAAGAAACACUGUUACUGACUGGGCUUGGCUAUUAAGUUCAUAAUUGUUGGGCUCUCCAUUCAGAUCUCCUUUCUGUCGAGGAGAAAAAUGACCCUUCUAGACUAUCUGCUUAAUCAUUAUCCUACAUCAAUUUUUGCUGGGCAGAAAAGGCAUUUGUAAUUUUCCUCUUUUGUUUGUUAUUUAAAUGACUUUACAAAACACAGAGAACUUACAGGAUUUUAUGCUUAUUUAAUACAAAGAAGAUGAUUAUUUAGAAAGUUGUUCUUUCUUCUACAGGGUGAGCUUCAAAAAAAAUAAAAGAAAAAGAAAGGAAGAAAGAAAGAAGUAGAGGUAGAAAGUUGGGAACAGUAGGUGGGUUAGGCUCUGGGAUUCCCAGGUACAGGGAUGGCUGAUCCAAGCCCAAAGAACAUCUAUGGAUAUUUAAUACUUGCUGGAGACAACUUCAAAAAAAAGGGUCUAGUCAGUCAAACAUAGGUUUUUAAUGAAUUUUUAUUGAAUUGAACUGAAUUGGAUUGAAAGAGCAAUUCAUUUGUGUAAAAGUUCAAAGAUGUUAUUGAUUUGGUCCAGGGCAAAGUACACUUUCUUUACAUACCUUCAAAGCAUCUCUGAAAAGAGAGAAUACUAGAAAACAAGUAUUUGCCUAAUAGCUUUGAUUUAAAGGAAAGGGUUUAUUUAGCCUUUUUUUGCCUGAUAUUUAACACAUCAAGGAUAAAAUAUGAUGAGACUGAUCUGUAACAGAAAGAAUGUACAUAAUGAUAAUUACAAGAGGUGAAAUUCUGAUGGACAUGCCAAGAGACAUGGGAUUUUCAUACCAAGUGUGUCGAAAUACAACUCAAGAGCUUACUUGAUCCUUCCACUUCAGCCAAGAUGUAAUAAGCACUUACACUGUAUCCAGAACCAUGCUUAGUAAGCACUGGGAAGUAUUAAAAAAAUUAAAAUUAAAAUAGAAAACACAGCUCAUGUCCUUGAGGCCACUGCAUAUUGGAAAAGUAAUAAGCCUUCUCAGUGUCUGUAGAUACUAAAAUGAGAAUUCUCCCUAGUCUAAUGUAUUUCACAAUCAGCUCACUGUUGCCAUUAUUUUGUUUCUCGGGUCAUGAAUUUAGAGCUAGAAGAAACUUUAGUGAUCAUUUAUUGAAAUUUUCUUAUUUUAGAAAUGAAGAAAAUAAGUCCUAAGGAGGUCAUUUAUGAAUGUAGGAAGGAUAGGAUCUAUAAUCAUGACAUUUAGAUGCUAAAUUCAGAGCUCUUCCCAUUCCUCUCUUGCAAAAGUACAGUUUGUGGCUACAGUCAUCCUCCUUUUCUUCAUCUUGGAAAAUGGUUGUCACUUCCAUUUUAUUAUAGAUAGAUAGACAGAUAGACAGAUAGAUAGAUAGAUAGACUAUCCUUUGAUGUCACAGAUCUGAUUAGAUUGUCUACUUGUAUAAAAAGGAAUGCAGACGCAUGAAUGAUAAGCCCAGAGAAUUGACAGUAGAAGAAUUAUUCUUAUUUUCUAAAGGCAAUUCCAUAAUCAUGACACUCUUAUUGUAUUUUGAUUGGGGGAAAGGGGAGACAUUGUUGAUUGCUCAGUGUAUUUAUUUCAUGUAAUUUUGGGCUUUCCUAUGGAGAAAUCAGAAUCUCUUUGGUUACCUGGUCACAAAGCUUAACCAAGAGGGUUUUCAUUUUCAUUCAAAAGUAGCGUCAGCUGAGAUUUAGGACCAUAAUUACUUUCCCUUAUACACUAAGAUUGAGAGUGUGCAGUCAUUUCUUUUGUAGCAGAGUGGAAAGGGCCUUUGUUCUACCCUGAUGUCUCAGUGGGGGGAAAGGAGCUCCAAUCCUGAAUAAUUUGGUUAUGAAAAAUAUUCAAUUAUAUCCCAAGUUUAAUCCGUUUAGCAAUGAAAAGUAAAUGAGCUCAAGUAGCAUGUUUGAUUUGUCUCAGAAGGAGAACGAUUGAUCUACAGGAACAAAUUUGAAGUUAGAGCACAGUAAAAAAUGAACCUUGACUAGGAGAAUCCUCUUCCAACUUAGAGAAGAAGGUUUUGCCUUCCAUCAGAUAUUGUCAGGGUAGAGAAGAGGAAAAGGUCUUGUUUUCCAAAUGGCUGUGUAUACAUGUACACAGGCGCAUAUGCACAUGUGUAGUUGCUGUACCAGGUCAUUAAAGCAGAAUUUAUAAACCACAGAAAUACUUACCAUUUUUGCAGAUGGGACAACACUGAUCUGGCUCGUACACGGGGUCCACACAUUCAGUCUGAGGACAGGCUGACACUGUGCAAAGCACCUCACCAUUGGCUUCGCAGUGGCAUUUUUCACAGGGAGAGACCUGAAACACAACCCCAUUCAUCCAGGUUAUUCCUUCAAUAAAUACCACUUGAGUCUGAA